UUUGUGUGUUUGACUUUUACCUGGUUUGCCAUCCUGAUGGGGGGACCUCUCGGGCCGCCGGCGAAGCGAGGCGACAUGAAGGACUGCGACACAAACAAGACAUCUGCCGAAGGCAACAUGAGAUGUGCUAAUGCCUCCUAAGCGGCACCGUUGUUGGGCUUCCAAAGAGGAGCGACGCAAGGGGAGGACUCCAUUUUGGAUGGCACGGCGACAAGGAGUGGCUACGACGCAAGGCUCGGACGUCGCAUCAAAUAUGCAAACGCUGACGGGCACUAAAGGCAUUAGUGGUCAAGAGCCGACACGCGUAUCUACUCCCCCCCCCCCCUUAUUAUAUCGGAUGGGCGCAGGCUGCAGCUGCAGGACCACUGUGAAAUACCUCAGCCGGGAGAGAAGUGAGGCCAGAAAGAGAAGUCGAGGCCCCGACACCUCCAUGAUGUGCAAACAAACACGCAUUUUGUAGGUCUUUACACCUUGGUGUUAUGGGAGAGAGGGGGGGGCACAAAAAUGUUUAAGCGAGCAUAGAAGGAUUUAUUUGAUUUUUUUUUUUGUUACUUGAGGUAAGAGCUAAGUGUGUCACCGGGGGGCGGAGGCAUUGUGACCUAAUUAAUACCACCUGUGUCUACCUGGAAAUGUUCCUUUUGCUUGGCACAGGGAGAGAGGAGGCUGGAUGCCAAUAUUUCUGUUGACUGCUAGUUUUUUGUCCAACCUUUUGUUCUUCUUGAAUGUAAAUUUUGAAGUAUAAUUUAUUGAAGAGUCACGUAAGCAGCGGCAAAUUGCACUUAAGUCUUCAAGCUUCCAUGCAAGAUUUUGCAUUUCAGACAUGCGCCCUUUCUACUCGACAAUGAUUGUUCUACUUCACUGCAGAGGAUAAAGAAUAUAUGCCGGUGAGUAUUGCAUUAACCAGCUGGAAGAAUGUUUUGGGAUUAAUUGUAGUCGCAAAAAGUACUCGCAAGUUUUUGCUCACAAGUCAAAGCAAAAAUCCCGUAAGCAGGGUCACUUGUAUCUCAAAACACCCUAUCGUCCCGUCAACAUUGAGCUUUGGAUCGGAAGUGAUUCAGAACACAGAUCGAAUAAACGGCAUGAGAGAGAAAUGUUUGGAGAGACCACCCAAUUGCCGCCUCCUGACCAAACCAAGUCUUAACAGCCCCUCUCUUCUUCCCUUAGAAUCAACAGCGCAGAGAAAAAAAGGCCCCAUGUUUAGCUUGUAAAUGUUUAACCAUUACUCAGCGUCGUAAAAGCCGGCCCGGAUCCCGACUGGACUUCUCCGGUCCCGCCCCCUUUCGCCUCAUGCUGGUGGGCAUAUGCCACGCUGCCGACCCCCCCUUCCCUUUUGCCAAUCUGGCCCUCAACUCCCCUGACAGCCAUCAAUCAGCCGCUGACGCCAUGGCGACGGGGCCCCUCAGGGAGCGCUCGGCAUCGCCGGCGUGAGUACACCAGGGCUUUACGAGCGCCGGCGCGCACCAACGCACCUCCCCCACGCAGACAAUGGCUACGCUCCAAGCACAAGUACUGUCCACACACACACGAUAGUCUGAGUCAUUAUUUGUGAUUUUCUUAAUCCGAUGAAUCUAUCAAUCGACAAAAGCAAUCGACAGAUUACUCAAUUAUUCAAAUAAUUGUUAGUAGCAGCAUUAAUCGUGACUAAUUAACUAGUUCGGAUUUGCAACACAAAGCAAGUAAAUGGACCAAGCAAGCACUGUCUUGUAACUCAAAAACCGCAAACUGGGUCACUUGUAAAUCAAGGUGCAAUCCUCAGUUUGCAAACCACACUACACAAAGCAAACGGAAGAAUGUCGUUUGAGCCAACGAGCCGGCCUGGCAAUCACGAGGCAAGUCGUUAUUUAAAGGGCAGUGUGCCGCUGCUGACGCUCGCCGAGCUCCUAGGUCACCGGCGGGACCAGAAGGUCCGUUACCGUGACAACUAUCUGCUGAAACCCGCCUCUCCAUUUUAGCUAACCCCCCCCCCUCCCUUCCUGCCUGAUGAGUCAACCCCCCUCUCCUCUCCCGAGCGCCGGCGGGCGAGCAGUCGUGUUUUUCUGCUGAUGCCGUGAAAGUCUUCUAAUUGACACUUGCUUAUUUGACCGCCAUGAUAAAACCUUACAAAAUGUAUCACAAUAAAAAAAAACGGGAUCCAUUUAAAAAGUAACACGCAAUCACAAAAGUGUCAUUGACCGGGUGUGCGAUUCAUACAUUGUGGAUCUCUUGGCCGUCUCCCCCUCGCUGCGAAUCAAUUGAGAUGAUCCCAUUGCGAGUUAAUAUGCUUCUAUGCGUACGGCUCUGACACGCUGACAUCAGCAUCUUUUUCCCAGAAACCAAAUAAGCUCCUCCGUCGGUUGCGUCACCAACAGGGCAAGAUUACGGACAGAGUCAGG